rnacentral:rRNA from 1 species
GACGAACGCUGGCGGCGUGCUUAACACAUGCAAGUCGAACGGAAAGGCCCUGCUUUUGUGGGGUGCUCGAGUGGCGAACGGGUGAGUAACACGUGAGUAACCUGCCCUUGACUUUGGGAUAACUUCAGGAAACUGGGGCUAAUACCGGAUAGGAUCUCCUGCUGCAUGGUGGGGGUUGGAAAGUUUCGGCGGUUUGGGAUGGACUCGCGGCUUAUCAGCUUGUUGGUGGGGUAGUGGCUUACCAAGGCUUUGACGGGUAGCCGGCCUGAGAGGGUGAACGGCCACAUUGGGACUGAGAGACGGCCCAGACUCCUACGGGAGGCAGCAGUGGGGAAUAUUGCACAAUGGGCGGAAGCCUGAUGCAGCAGCGCCGCGUGCGGGAUGACGGCCUUCGGGUUGUAAACCGCUUUCGCCUGUGACGAGGCGUGAGUGACGGUAAUGGGUAAAGAAGCACCGGCUAACUACGUG